UGGGCUCGCUCGCGUCCUUUCUGUGCAUCAGCGGACUUUGUGAACUUAUACCUAUACUGUUGCCUCGGCGCUGGCCGGCCUCCUCACCGAGGCCCCCUGGAGACAGGGAGCAGCCCGCCGGCGGCCAAACAAACUCUUGUUUCUUAGUGAAUCUCUGAGUAAAAAACAUAAUGAAUCAAAACUUUCAACAACGGAUCUCUUGGUUCUGGCAUCGAUGAAGAACGCAGCGAAAUGCGAUAAGUAAUGUGAAUUGCAGAAUUCAGUGAAUCAUCGAAUCUUUGAACGCACAUUGCGCCCUCUGGUAUUCCGGAGGGCAUGCCUGUUCGAGCGUCAUUUCAACCCUCAAGCCUAGCUUGGUGUUGGGGCACCGCCUUUGCAAAAGGGCGGGCCCUGAAAUCUAGUGGCGAGCUCGCCAGGACCCCGAGCGUAGUAGUUAUAUCUCGUUCUGGAAGGCCCUGGCGGUGCCCUGCCGUUAAACCCCCAACUUCUGAAAUUUUGACCUCGGAUCAGGUAGGAAUACCCGCUGAACUUAAGCAUAUCAAUAAUCGGAGGAA
rnacentral:rRNA from 1 species